AACGAACGCUGGCGGCAUGCCUAACACAUGCAAGUCGAACGAGACCUUCGGGUCUAGUGGCGCACGGGUGCGUAACGCGUGGGAACCUGCCCUUAGGUUCGGAAUAACUCCCCGAAAGGGGUGCUAAUACCGGAUAAUGUCUUCGGACCAAAGAUUUAUCGCCUUUGGAUGGGCCCGCGUUGGAUUAGCCAGUUGGUAGGGUAAAAGCCUACCAAGGCGACGAUCCAUAGCUGGUCUGAGAGGAUGAUCAGCCACACUGGGACUGAGACACGGCCCAGACUCCGACGGGAGGCAGCAGUGGGGAAUAUUGGACAAUGGGCGAAAGCCUGAUACAGCAAUGCCGCGUGAGUGAUGAAGGCCUUAGGGUUGUAAAGCUCUUUUACCCGGGAUGAUAAUGACAGUACCGGGAGAAUAAGCUCCGGCUAACUCCGUG
rnacentral:rRNA from 1 species